CGAAUGCUGACAUAAGUAACGAUAAAGCGGGUGAAAAGCCCGCUCGCCGGAAGACCAAGGGUUCCUGUCCAACGUUAAUCGGGGCAGGGUGAGUCGACCCCUAAGGCGAGGCCGAAAGGCGUAGUCGAUGGGAAACAGGUUAAUAUUCCUGUACUUGGUGUUACUGCGAAGGGGGGACGGAGAAGGCUAUGUUGGCCGGGCGACGGUUGUCCCGGUUUAAGCGUGUAGGCUGGUUUUCCAGGCAAAUCCGGAAAAUCAAGGCUGAGGCGUGAUGACGAGGCACUACGGUGCUGAAGCAACAAAUGCCCUGCUUCCAGGAAAAGCCUCUAAGCAUCAGGUAACAUCAAAUCGUACCCCAAACCGACACAGGUGGUCAGGUAGAGAAUACCAAGGCGCUUGAGAGAACUCGGGUGAAGGAACUAGGCAAAAUGGUGCCGUAACUUCGGGAGAAGGCACGCUGAUAUGUAGGUGAAGUCCCUCGCGGAUGGAGCUGAAAUCAGUCGAAGAUACCAGCUGGCUGCAACUGUUUAUUAAAAACACAGCACUGUGCAAACACGAAAGUGGACGUAUACGGUGUGACGCCUGCCCGGUGCCGGAAGGUUAAUUGAUGGGGUUAGCGGUAACGCGAAGCUCUUGAUCGAAGCCCCGGUAAACGGCGGCCGUAACUAUAACGGUCCUAAGGUAGCGAAAUUCCUUGUCGGGUAAGUUCCGACCUGCACGAAUGGCGUAAUGAUGGCCAGGCUGUCUCCACCCGAGACUCAGUGAAAUUGAACUCGCUGUGAAGAUGCAGUGUACCCGCGGCAAGACGGAAAGACCCCGUGAACCUUUACUAUAGCUUGACACUGAACAUUGAGCCUUGAUGUGUAGGAUAGGUGGGAGGCUUUGAAGUGUGGACGCCAGUCUGCAUGGAGCCGACCUUGAAAUACCACCCUUUAAUGUUUGAUGUUCUAACGUUGGCCCCUGAUCGGGGUUGCGGACAGUGUCUGGUGGGUAGUUUGACUGGGGCGGUCUCCUCCUAAAGAGUAACGGAGGAGCACGAAGGUUGGCUAAUCCUGGUCGGACAUCAGGAGGUUAGUGCAAUGGCAUAAGCCAGCUUGACUGCGAGCGUGACGGCGCGAGCAGGUGCGAAAGCAGGUCAUAGUGAUCCGGUGGUUCUGAAUGGAAGGGCCAUCGCUCAACGGAUAAAAGGUACUCCGGGGAUAACAGGCUGAUACCGCCCAAGAGUUCAUAUCGACGGCGGUGUUUGGCACCUCGAUGUCGGCUCAUCACAUCCUGGGGCUGAAGUAGGUCCCAAGGGUAUGGCUGUUCGCCAUUUAAAGUGGUACGCGAGCUGGGUUUAGAACGUCGUGAGACAGUUCGGUCCCUAUCUGCCGUGGGCGCUGGAGAACUGAGGGGGGCUGCUCCUAGUACGAGAGGACCGGAGUGGACGCAUCACUGGUGUUCGGGUUGUCAUGCCAAUGGCACUGCCCGGUAGCUAAAUGCGGAAGAGAUAAGUGCUGAAAGCAUCUAAGCACGAAACUUGCCCCGAGAUGAGUUCUCCCUGACUCCUUGAGAGUCCUGAAGGAACGUUGAAGACGACGACGUUGAUAGGCCGGGUGUGUAAGCGCAGCGAUG
rnacentral:rRNA from 1 species